AAUUUUUCAGCUCUAUGAUAAUCUUAUGGGACUACUGUUGUAUAUGCUGCCCAUUGUUGACUGAAACAUUGUCGUGCAGCACGUAACUGUUUCUUAAGCAAACGUAUGGCCCAACCAGUAUUUUGGAAUAGUGUAUAUAGAAUGGGUUGGAGUAGAAAGAGACUUUAUUUGAAAAGUCCGAAGGCCAAAAGACUAAGAGGGCCUGAACAAUAGGAGGGGACAAAACCAAGAGGAGUUGGCAACUAAUUGGAUGUGGGGAUUAAGGAAAAGGUAGGCAUCAAAGAUUACCUCCAGGUUUGUUUGAAGGUGAAAGAAUGGCAGGAUUCUGAUGCCAUCACAGGAUAUACAGGUUUCAAUCAAACUAACCCCAGAAGAGCCACACAUAUUUGAAAAGUAUUUUGUCUCACAUUUUUACCUAUUACACAGUUUUUAGUAAUUUAGAAUUUAAGCCAGUAGUAAGGCCACUGUACUUCUAUCAACACAGUGAGGUUGGGCACAUACAGGAGGUAAGAUGUUCAAUCCCAUUUAGAGAUGCUGAGUUUGAGGUGCUGCCAGAACAUUCAGAUGAAGAUAAGACAAGACUGUCAGAAAUGCAGGAUAGGAAACAUCUCCAUUUAGAUGUUUAUUCUUUCUAUCUAAACGUCCAUCCAGUCCUCAAUGUCUGCAAUUCUCUGUGAUUAUAAUCUAUCCUAAUCCUACAUUUCCUAAUGGUCACAAAUGAAGGGACCACAGUUGACAGAUGUACAGUGACACCACUAUUGGCCUAAAUUCUAAUAAAAACUGAAAUAAGCAAAUCUGUGAGGCAAAUAAAAAGCUUCUCAAAUAUGUGUGGCUUUUUGGGGGGUUAACUUGAUUGAGAUCUGUAUUAAUUUCUUACAGCUGUUGUAACAAAUUACCACAAAUUUGGUGGCUUAAAACCACACACAUUUAUUCUUACAGUUCUGAAGGCCAGAGUCUAAAAUGAGUUUCAGUCAGCUAAAGUUCUGGCAGGGCCAUGCUCCCCUGGAGGUUUCCAGGAUGCAUCCCAUGUUCAGUGUCACCUGAAUAAGCCGUAGCCACAGAGGUCUCUGUUUUAGUUGAAUGGGAAUUUGCACUCAAUGGUUUCUUUUAUGGUUUCUACCUUAUGGUUUUAACUCUUUUUUUUCAAUAAUAGCUUUAUUGA